rfam:Triticum aestivum genome assembly, contig: Triticum_aestivum_CS42_TGACv1_scaffold_374231_5AL
GUCCCUUUGGGGACAUCAAAUAAAAUUUGAACAAUACAGAGAAGAUUAGCAUGCCCCUGCGCAAAGUUAUAAAUUCUGUAUAAUGUUUCAGAUAAUU